rnacentral:lncRNA from 1 species
GUAUUAUACAGGUGAGAGUCCACAGAAGGAGAAAGAAAACAAAUCAUAUGCAUGUUGAUCGUUCAGAAUUACUUAAGUUGUUAAGAAGCUUAAAAGGGUAAAAGAAUAAUGGGGUUCGGAAUCCAUUUUCCGUGGCCUAGAAAAGGAAAAGAAUAACAAAGAAAUUCUUGACUUGAGAAUACGUCCAUUGCUUUGGGUUUGAGUUAAGAUUCUGAAAUUCCAUUCCCCAGAAUCUGACUUUUAUCCUGAACCCCAAGUCCUUUUCCCCAUAAGGAAUAUCAUUCCGUGGUCAUUGAUUUCCUUUUAUUUUAAGCCAGUGUCUUCACCCUGGGGUCAACAAGCAGGCACCAAUUCGAGCUGUGCGUCUUUACUAAUCAUGCACAGUGGCAGAGAUACCCUUGUACGAGAGCGUUAUCCGACACCGCUUCAUCGAAAAAAAUUCAAACACAUAAUUAUAUAUUAUAGAUCAACAUUAAUUUGGGACAAUGAAUAAAUUCUUUGAAGAUCUACAACUCCAAAUCCUAACUCAAAUAUAAGCUGAGUUGAUAAUAAGUCAGGCAUUGCUCACACAAAAUUCUGCGUACACUACACUACAGAUCAGGCAUUGACGAACUCUCCCACCAUUGCCUCCCUAAGAUGAUUCGAAAUGCUCUAUUUCUUUAUUUUUAUUUUUUUAAUGUGAGAUUCAUCUUGUACUUUAAAGUAAAAUUAACUAAAUCUAAGAGCUUUAAAAAGGAAAUGCAAGUACAAGAAAGAACAACAGCACAUGUUCUCUUCUUUAAAGUGGAGAAUAUAUCAUGAAAAUAGAAUAAAGAAAGCAACAAAAGAGACGAGGAAGAAGAUAGAUUGGAAUAGCAAAGGCAAAGGGUUCUUCUGCAUGUCUUACAAAACAGAGGAACAGCAGUCAUUGCUUUAUGGCAACAUCACGGAAAAGCAAAUUAAGUACUUUUAAUGUACCAUUACUAGAAAAGAUUAUUUGGGUUAUUCAGAGAGGCAUAAAAUGAAUGCUAUUGCAUGUUUAUACUUCUUCUGUUCCAAUUUUAUAUAUUUUUAAAAAUAAAAAAAUUUAGAAUGCUUUGAAAUGUUUGUCAUCCUUCCAUUUCUAUAAAACUCACAGCUUUCAAAAAUUCAUAUAUAUAAAGUUACUCCAUUUUAAUGUUCUUUUCUUUUUUUUGCAUUUUUUUAAAAUCAAACUAGCUUAUCAACUUGUAACUUUUAGUAUUGAUUCCAUCAUCACUAACAUCAUACAUAUAAGUUAAACUAAUAUCUUAAAUUUCAUCCUCAGCCAACUACCUUUCUGUAAAAUAAAAAGAUGAAAUAUUAUUCAUAGUUUGAUAUAGAAACAUAAAGCAACUACUAGAUCUUGCACAUCAUCAAUUAGAAAAUCUACUUUACCAUAACAGAAGGGAAACUGAGAAUGACAAAAGAAAGACAAACAAUUGUUAAAGACAGUUUGAUCAGAUGAACAACACUAUAACAAGACAGUUAGGUCAGAUAAAUACUAUAACAAGAAGUCUCGGGUUCAAACCUUGUGAACGAAGAAAUUUCCGGUAGGGAGCACUUCUCCCUUAAAUGGGUCUCUGCUACGCACAUUUGGAUUAGAUGAGCUAAUGGGUUCCGGAUAUCAUAUGGUUGAACCUAACAAAAAAAAAAUUUAACUCCAUAAAUCUAUUGAUUUUAGUACAAUAUAAUAGUCCAAUGCAACUCAUACAGCUAACAAUGCACAUCCUCAUUUCAUUCCUAUCCACGUGCCAGCAAAACAGUAUAAGGGAACUCUGCUUUAUACCUAUACCACUUUACCUAAAGGUUGUAAUAUAUUCCUCCAAAGCGCAUAAAAUACCCUAAGAUAUCAGAAUCAGUUGAUCUUUUUCUUGAAAGUUCAACUGACAACUGAUGUGCAUACCUUGUUCAGAGAUGAGGAAUUUUCACUUAUUUCAUAUCAAGAUGGAAAAUAAUUAAACUUAGAUAACAAACAGUCUUACAAACCCCUGAAAUUUAUCCAAAAGAUAUAUUUUUGAUACCAAGAGUCAUUUCCUAACUAUGCAAUCGUGAUUUGUUGAACUUGCUGACCAAUACAAAAAUACAGCAGUUUAGAUGUAUCAUUGCAAUGUUAACAAGGAAAAGGUGCAAAAGAUACUAAGCAUUUCAUAAACAACUAAGUUUAAAUUCCCUAGUUUUCCCUCCACAGAAAAAUGCAAAAAAAAAAAGGAAAAAAAAGGAAGAAACAAAUGAGCACAAAUCUAUGGUGUUUUAGUUUUUAUAAGUGAACUAGAAAUUGAAUUAGCAAGGCGAUAAAUAGAGAUCUCAAGUUUGUGUCACAAUAAACUAUGACAGAAAACUGACAGGUAUCUAUACAUGUUUAUUAAAAAUAAACGGGCACAAAAGAAUGUAAAGUAACUAUUUAUAUUCUCUAGAGCAAAUUAAGGCUCAAGUCAAGGGAAAGGCAAGUAGUCAUCUUCGAGCAAAUGAGUUGACAUGUUUUCCAUCAGGCGACUACGGAAGCAAGUAAUAUCACUUUAUUUCUCCUUUCAAAGGGGUCCCAAUGCCUUGGAGAUGGCUGUCUUACACCAAUUAAAGAAUAGGAAAUAUCUAACGUACUGGAGGUCUCCCUCUAUUUUAGUUCUAUAUAUCCAGGCCGAAUAAGUACCAAACUUACUGAAGGAGACAAAAAGGUAUUUGUUCCUUAUUCCAAUAUUCCUGGCCUUCAAACAAAGCCAAGGAGAAGCAUCUCUCCACAAUUUUUUUACCUUUUUAUCGUAUUCCUUUUUAGUUACUCAAACAUGAUAUAUUAAAAUAGCAUAGACUGAAAAUAAUGCUCAAGAUAUUCCAAAAGUUCAUAUCACUAAAUACAGGAACAGGAGCAAGAUAUUGCAUGAAAGUCUCAUCUAAAAUCAUUAAAUUCUUUUUACCCAAGGCAGAGUAUAGCCAAUAUAAUAGAAUAAAACAUGCAUAUAGGAAAUGCUGCCUCAACAAAUUCUUAACAUGGCCAUAGUAAACUAACAGAGGUUUAUAGAAAGAAAUGUAUUAGUCUUUUUAUUUUGACAUGAAAUAAUUGAAGCAUCUCUCAACCAUUUCCCUAUCUCUUUGCUUUGUUUUUUUUAUCCAAUACAAAGUACUUGAAGCUCUGGUCAACAGAAUCUUCCAUUUGAAAGGGAAAAUGGUUUUGAAGUUUUCAAGAGGUCAUACAUCAUUCAAUAGUGGAUACUUUCAGUCUAUAUCAGAAAAAAAUUCCAAAUUUAAUUCUGGGAAUAUGGUUCCCAAACUUUGCCAGAUAAAGAAUAUGAGAACAUAAAAGUCUCUGGUGGAUAAAUUCUUGUACCCAUUGUAAGGUGUGAAGUGUUUCAAGCAAGUUAUAGUGCAGCGGAAUAUCAUGCUAGGGCCCACAGAUAUGUAAAACUGGAAAGAUGAGAUCUCUUUUUGAGCCGGCUGUGAAGAUUCGAUUGGUUCUAGCGUUCAACUGGCCCUGUCCAAGAUUCUAUGCUUCACCUAGACUCCCUCUCUCUUUCUCACCCCAUUCGCUUAUAAGAGCUCUUUGGAUACAUCUUUGGUCUGUGAAGUUGUACAACAAAGGAGAUAGAUAAGAGCAGUAGUGCAGUUUGAACUGAGUAUCAGAAGCAGAAUUGUUCUCUGAAGAAUAAUACAGAAGAAUCAUGAUUUGCAUCUAAAGGGUAAGACUAGACUGAAACCAAGUACAGCAGAUCACUUUCAGGUACGUUAUAAUUAGUUGAAUUACUUAUAUCGUGCCUAUUAACUCGCACCACGAGACUUAAUUGCUAAUCAUCAUACAGAAGGCCAGAAGAUGUACCAUCAUCACCACCAGGAUAAGAGCAUGCACCCUUCAACAAGAAUGUCUAUCUCUGAAAGGCAUCUGUUCCUGCAAGGUGGAAACGGCAACGGGGAUUCAGGGCUUGUCCUGUCAACUGAUGCCAAGCCAAGAUUGAAAUGGACACCAGACCUCCAUGAGAGGUUUAUAGAAGCCGUUAAUCAACUUGGUGGAGCAGACAGUAAGUGCACACAAAUAUACCAAUUUCAAGACGCACCAGGAAGAUGUUAUUUCGUGAAGAUAAUUAACUGCACUAUUCUUCUAUUGCAGAAGCCACGCCAAAAUCAGUUCUAAAGCUUAUGGGGAUCCAAGGAUUAACCUUGUACCACUUAAAGAGCCAUCUUCAGGUUCGUUCUUAUUUGCUUUAUGGCAUUACAAAAUCCAUGCAUAAACAAGACAUUCUAUGAGGGACAUAUUCGGCGUUGAAGUUUAGCUACCAAGGCAAUAGUUCCAAACAAAACAACUGGUGGUAAGAGGGGAAAAGCAUCUUUUGCAUCAACUGCAAAGAAUUUUCAAAUUGUUUCAUUUAAGCAGCUGCCAUAUAUGUACUUUUAUAGUGUGAAGGAAAACUGAUCAAAACUUUGUACCUGGGCUGGCAAAAAUGCAGAGAAAUAUAGCCCUUUGUUUUUCUUUACAUCCAUAAGACUGAAGAAUAUUUCUGACAAUUUUUUGAUACUUUUAGAUUGGCCAGAAACUAACGCUUUACAAAAAUGCUGGCAGAAAUACAGACUAAGUAAGAAUCUCCAUGGACAAGCAAAUGCUAGUGGGGCCAAUAAAGUUGGUAAGAAAUCAAAUACAUACCCAAGAAAAUAGUUCACAAAACUUCGUUUACGGAGAGAUAACAUCCGAAAACUUACUGACUUUGUGGAAUGGUUACAGCAGCAGGAGAAGAUAGGAUAUCUGAGAAUAGCGCAACUUGCAUGAGCAAUCCAAGCAUCGGACCCCAGCCAAACA